UUUUAUUUUUCAUCUGAUUACCAUCAUUUUCUCUCUCUCUCCGGGUCUAAGAGUGGGAUGGAUGUAGGAAGGGGAAGGAGUUGUCCUAAUAUGGGUUACUGAAAUGUUAUUGGCCCAUGUUAAAUACAGAAAUGAAGGGUUUAGAAAUGUUUAAGGUGAUUUUACUUUGCCACAGUGUCCAAGCACCUGAUCAAUGGACCUGUCUUGAUGAAGAGGGCAGUGGUGAGCAUUUGGGGUGCUGUUGAAUUUGUGUGGUGGCUCACACACACUAGGACCACAUAUCCUCCCUCAAAAUUUUGGAAAUUUUAAAAAACUCAUCCUUAACUGCAGAGAGUUUAUAAAAUAUGUUGUCAAAGAUAACAUAGCCCUAGUCACAUGGUAAGGAAAAGCCAACAUUCAAGAAAUGCUUGGAAACUGAGAAAUGUUAAAGGCAGGAGUACAAAGGAGGUGAAGAGAAUGGUCACUGUAGGUUGAGGUGAAACAGGAAGUCGAUCCUUGGAGAUGAAUCCUCAGAGGGUCUUGAAAAAAAAAGUUGGCAAAUAUUAAGGGGUAGAAGGAUGUUUCAAGAGAGAGGAAGCCAUGAGCGAAGGCAUGGAGGCCUAUGCAGAAGAUGUGAAGGCCAUGCACAUUAUUUGCUGAUUGAAAUAGAAAGGUCAAGAAUCUGGGUUCUACCAUUUGGCAACCGUCCUAAUGAUAAUUGAUUCAGGAUAAAGACAGAGGAACAAAUACCAGACCAGCAAACUUACCUGAAUCCAGCUGCCCUCAGAGUAUGGCUGAGGCUUGGUCAAAGCCCAGAACUUAGCAAGGGUUAGAGGACAUCAUGGGACCAUAUUCCCAGUCACUCCAGGUUUGAGAAACAAUUCCACAACCGCUCUUCUCCCAUCAAGCUAAUACAUUUUGAGGAAAAACUCAAGAUUUCAAGAAAUAGGCUCUCGGACACAAUUCUGUGGGGGAGGCUGUUGGCUUACCAGUUGCAAGGGGUGAAUCUCAAGAGAUUCAGAAGCUCAAUCCGAAUAAACAACCAAAACUUUGGAGGCUUAUCAAAACUCUGGCAAAACUAGGCCAGAAGUGGACUCUAUUUUCUAGUGAGGUUUCCAGUAUUUCCUGUUUCCAGUGGAACUGGACUAGCUCAGGAAGAUUCUACUAAUGACUAGAACCAACUGGACAUAACUGGAGAACACGGAAAGAUUGAAACAAAAAAACAAGAACAAAAACAUGAGAAAAGAUAGUGUGUGCUGUUUCCAGCUGCAAGAGAGAUGAAGAUCAUUCAAACAUGGU